rnacentral:piRNA from 1 species
UGGAAGGAGAAAUGGCCAGAUGUGCAUGG